rnacentral:rRNA from 1 species
UUGAACGCUGGCGGCAGGCCUAACACCUGCCAGUCGAACGGUAACAGGAAGAAGCUUGCUUCUUUGCUGACGAGUGGCGGACGGGUGAGUAAUGUCUGGGAAACUGCCUGAUGGAGGGGGAUAACUACUGGAAACGGUAGCUAAUACCGCAUAACGUCGCAAGACCAAAGAGGGGGACCUUCGGGCCUCUUGCCAUCGGAUGUGCCCAGAUGGGAUUAGCUAGUAGGUGGGGUAACGGCUCACCUAGGCGACGAUCCCUAGCUGGUCUGAGAGGAUGACCAGCCACACUGGAACUGAGACACGGUCCAGACUCCUACGGGAGGCAGCAGUGGGGAAUAUUGCACAAUGGGCGCAAGCCUGAUGCAGCCAUGCCGCGUGUAUGAAGAAGGCCUUCGGGUUGUAAAGUACUUUCAGCGGGGAGGAAGGGAGUAAAGUUAAUACCUUUACUCAUUGACGUUACCCGCAGAAGAAGCACCGGCUAACUCCGUG